UAGCUGUGUCAUUUUGGGAACCUGGCCUAU
rnacentral:piRNA from 1 species